UGAAAUGUACGCGAUGAGCUCAGUGUUUUAGAAGAUGGAUACCAAGGAAGAUGCUGAAUCACAAGAGGAUCGGUCAAAAGAAGACCAGCCAUCAUCCCCAUAUGUGGUGUUACAAGAUGGUUGGUGAGGCACUGCAGAAUGCCUUUACAGGUAAUCAAACUCCUCAGCCAACUCCACCGGCUCAUAGACGAAGUCAAAGUGAAGUUAUAACCCGGGG
rnacentral:misc_RNA from 1 species